GGGUUGUGAGGUUAAGCGACUAAGCGUACACGGUGGAUGCCCUGGCAGUCAGAGGCGAUGAAGGACGUGCUAAUCUGCGAUAAGCGUCGGUAAGGUGAUAUGAACCGUUAUAACCGGCGAUUUCCGAAUGGGGAAACCCAGUGUGUUUCGACACACUAUCAUUAACUGAAUCCAUAGGUUAAUGAGGCGAACCGGGGGAACUGAAACAUCUAAGUACCCCGAGGAAAAGAAAUCAACCGAGAUUCCCCCAGUAGCGGCGAGCGAACGGGGAGCAGCCCAGAGCCUGAAUCAGUGUGUGUGUUAGUGGAAGCGUCUGGAAAGGCGUGCGAUACAGGGUGACAGCCCCGUACACAAAAAUGCACAUGCUGUGAGCUCGAUGAGUAGGGCGGGACACGUGGUAUCCUGUCUGAAUAUGGGGGGACCAUCCUCCAAGGCUAAAUACUCCUGACUGACCGAUAGUGAACCAGUACCGUGAGGGAAAGGCGAAAAGAACCCCGGCGAGGGGAGUGAAAAAGAACCUGAAACCGUGUACGUACAAGCAGUGGGAGCACGCUUAGGCGUGUGACUGCGUACCUUUUGUAUAAUGGGUCAGCGACUUAUAUUCUGUAGCAAGGUUAACCGAAUAGGGGAGCCGAAGGGAAACCGAGUCUUAACUGGGCGUUAAGUUGCAGGAUAUAGACCCGAAACCCGGUGAUCUAGCCAUGGGCAGGUUGAAGGUUGGGUAACACUAACUGGAGGACCGAACCGACUAAUGUUGAAAAAUUAGCGGAUGACUUGUGGCUGGGGGUGAAAGGCCAAUCAAACCGGGAGAUAGCUGGUUCUCCCCGAAAGCUAUUUAGGUAGCGCCUCGUGAAUUCAUCUCCGGGGGUAGAGCACUGUUUCGGCAAGGGGGUCAUCCCGACUUACCAACCCGAUGCAAACUGCGAAUACCGGAGAAUGUUAUCACGGGAGACACACGGCGGGUGCUAACGUCCGUCGUGAAGAGGGAAACAACCCAGACCGCCAGCUAAGGUCCCAAAGUCAUGGUUAAGUGGGAAACGAUGUGGGAAGGCCCAGACAGCCAGGAUGUUGGCUUAGAAGCAGCCAUCAUUUAAAGAAAGCGUAAUAGCUCACUGGUCGAGUCGGCCUGCGCGGAAGAUGUAACGGGGCUAAACCAUGCACCGAAGCUGCGGCAGCGACACUAUGUGUUGUUGGGUAGGGGAGCGUUCUGUAAGCCUGUGAAGGUGUGCUGUGAGGCAUGCUGGAGGUAUCAGAAGUGCGAAUGCUGACAUAAGUAACGAUAAAGCGGGUGAAAAGCCCGCUCGCCGGAAGACCAAGGGUUCCUGUCCAACGUUAAUCGGGGCAGGGUGAGUCGACCCCUAAGGCGAGGCCGAAAGGCGUAGUCGAUGGGAAACAGGUUAAUAUUCCUGUACUUGGUGUUACUGCGAAGGGGGGACGGAGAAGGCUAUGUUGGCCGGGCGACGGUUGUCCCGGUUUAAGCGUGUAGGCUGGUUUUCCAGGCAAAUCCGGAAAAUCAAGGCUGAGGCGUGAUGACGAGGCACUACGGUGCUGAAGCAACAAAUGCCCUGCUUCCAGGAAAAGCCUCUAAGCAUCAGGUAACAUCAAAUCGUACCCCAAACCGACACAGGUGGUCAGGUAGAGAAUACCAAGGCGCUUGAGAGAACUCGGGUGAAGGAACUAGGCAAAAUGGUGCCGUAACUUCGGGAGAAGGCACGCUGAUAUGUAGGUGAAGCGACUUGCUCGUGGAGCUGAAAUCAGUCGAAGAUACCAGCUGGCUGCAACUGUUUAUUAAAAACACAGCACUGUGCAAACACGAAAGUGGACGUAUACGGUGUGACGCCUGCCCGGUGCCGGAAGGUUAAUUGAUGGGGUUAGCCGCAAGGCGAAGCUCUUGAUCGAAGCCCCGGUAAACGGCGGCCGUAACUAUAACGGUCCUAAGGUAGCGAAAUUCCUUGUCGGGUAAGUUCCGACCUGCACGAAUGGCGUAAUGAUGGCCAGGCUGUCUCCACCCGAGACUCAGUGAAAUUGAACUCGCUGUGAAGAUGCAGUGUACCCGCGGCAAGACGGAAAGACCCCGUGAACCUUUACUAUAGCUUGACACUGAACAUUGAGCCUUGAUGUGUAGGAUAGGUGGGAGGCUUUGAAGUGUGGACGCCAGUCUGCAUGGAGCCGACCUUGAAAUACCACCCUUUAAUGUUUGAUGUUCUAACGUUGACCCGUAAUCCGGGUUGCGGACAGUGUCUGGUGGGUAGUUUGACUGGGGCGGUCUCCUCCUAAAGAGUAACGGAGGAGCACGAAGGUUGGCUAAUCCUGGUCGGACAUCAGGAGGUUAGUGCAAUGGCAUAAGCCAGCUUGACUGCGAGCGUGACGGCGCGAGCAGGUGCGAAAGCAGGUCAUAGUGAUCCGGUGGUUCUGAAUGGAAGGGCCAUCGCUCAACGGAUAAAAGGUACUCCGGGGAUAACAGGCUGAUACCGCCCAAGAGUUCAUAUCGACGGCGGUGUUUGGCACCUCGAUGUCGGCUCAUCACAUCCUGGGGCUGAAGUAGGUCCCAAGGGUAUGGCUGUUCGCCAUUUAAAGUGGUACGCGAGCUGGGUUUAGAACGUCGUGAGACAGUUCGGUCCCUAUCUGCCGUGGGCGCUGGAGAACUGAGGGGCUGCUCCUAGUACGAGAGGACCGGAGUGGACGCAUCACUGGUGUUCGGGUUGUCAUGCCAAUGGCACUGCCCGGUAGCUAAAUGCGGAAGAGAUAAGUGCUGAAAGCAUCUAAGCACGAAACUUGCCCCGAGAUGAGUUCUCCCUGACUCCUUGAGAGUCCUGAAGGAACGUUGAAGACGACGACGUUGAUAGGCCGGGUGUGUAAGCGCAGCGAUGCGUUGAGCUAACCGGUACUAAUGAACCGUGAGGCUUAACCUUACAACGCCGAAGGUGUUU
rnacentral:rRNA from 1 species